GCCAACGUAGCUCAGUGGUAGAGCAGCUGUUUCGUAAACAGCAGGUCGGCGGUUCAAAUCCGCCCGUUGGCUCCA
rnacentral:tRNA from 1 species